CUAUGCGCCUUGCCAGCCCCGCUCAGAAACUUAAAGGAAUUGACGGGGGCCCGCACAAGCGGAGGAACAUGUGGUUUAAUUCGAUGAUACGCGAGGAACCUUACCUGGGCUAGAACGCAUUCGGAAUCAGGCCGAAAGGCCUGCGCCAGCGAUGGCCGCUUGCGAGGUGCUGCAUGGUUGUCGUCAGCUCGUGCCGUGAGGUGUCGGGUUAAGUCCCAUAACGAGCGCAACCCCUACUGCUAGUUGCCAGCGGGUCAUGCCGGGGACUCUAGCGGAACUGCCAGCGUAAGCUGCGAGGAAGGUGGGGAUGACGUCAAAUCAGCACGGCCCUUACGUCCAGGGCUACACACGUGUUACAAUGGCCGGUACAGAGGGCAGCCACCCCGCGAGGGGGCGCGAAUCCCGAAAGCCGGUCCCAGUUCGGAUCGGAGUCUGCAACCCGACUCCGUGAAGCUGGAUUCGCUAGUAAUCGCGCAUCAGCCACGGCGCGGUGAAUACGUUCCCGGGCCUU
rnacentral:rRNA from 1 species